GUCUACGGCCAUGCCACCCUGAACAAGCCCAAUCCCAUCUGAUCAUGAAAGCUAAGCAGUGUUGGGCCUGGUUAGUACUUGAGAGGCCACCUAGGAAGACCAGGUGCUGUAGGCA
rnacentral:rRNA from 1 species